UCCACACGGCGAGGCCUCGGCACCGCGGAGGAGGAAGCCCCAAGCCGGGGAGCGCGGAGAGCAGCAGCGCGGGGGAUGUGCCGGUCCGUGAGUGGGGCUGAGAUCGGCCUGGCGACUGUGCUCUGCCCGCUCUCAGCUGCUCCCGAGAGCCGCGGUCCGCACCGCUCCUUGCGCGCCUGGAUAGAGCGGGCUGCGAGACUUCAGAAUUAGGCAGAUCACUGAUGCAGUUGCUGGGAGCUGCCUGGAGGGAGACGAGGGCCAGGGAGUGCAGCUGUGGAGGUUCAGCUAUGGAGGUUCCACGGUGCAUCACUGAAACUUCCCCAGCUGAACAACAGAUACCCUCUGGAGGAUGAGGAAACACCUUGCUGUUAUACAGAUUCCUCCUCUGAGAUGCAUCACAACUUUUCAGAAUCACUGGCAGCUUUGUCUUAAGAGUGGCUGAAUGUUAGGAACUGUGCUUCUGCACUGCACCAUGAAAAGGUCCACACGUAUUUCCAUUCAAGGGUAAUAAUCUAUUUUAGAACAAGAA